UGGGGAAUAUUGCACAAUGGGGGAAACCCUGAUGCAGCGACGCCGCGUGGAGGAAGAAGGUCUUCGGAUUGUAAACUCCUGUUGUUGGGGAAGAUAAUGACGGUACCCAACAAGGAAGUGACGGCUAACUACGUGCCAGCAGCCGCGGUAAAACGUAGGUCACAAGCGUUGUCCGGAAUUACUGGGUGUAAAGGGAGCGCAGGCGGGAAGACAAGUUGGAAGUGAAAUCUAUGGGCUCAACCCAUAAACUGCUUUCAAAACUGUUUUUCUUGAGUAGUGCAGAGGUAGGCGGAAUUCCCGGUGUAGCGGUGGAAUGCGUAGAUAUCGGGAGGAACACCAGUGGCGAAGGCGGCCUACUGGGCACCAACUGACGCUGAGGCUCGAAAGUGUGGGUAGCAAACAGG
rnacentral:rRNA from 3 species